rnacentral:lncRNA from 1 species
AAGUCCCUAAGGGGUUACCCCACCCCCUCUUGUUUGAAAACUUAUAAACGGUCAACAUCCCCACCCCUAAACUAUAUAUAUUCUUGUAAGGGACAAUAAAACUAAUCAAACGAAAUUAAAUAGAAGUUCCUGGGGGUCACCCCCACCCCGUUCAAUUUGAGAAUGUACUAUUAUCUUGUAAAUGGUCCAGAUCCCCACCCCUAAACCAUAUAUGUUCUUGUAGGGGACAAUAAAACAAAUAAAAUGAGAUAAAAGGGAAGUCCUGAGGGGGUCAUCCCACCCACUCUUGUUUCAAAACUUGUAAACGGUCAACAUCCCCACCCCUAAACCAUAUAUAUUCUUGUAGGGGACAAUAAAACAAAUAAAAUGAAAUGUAGGUAAAGUCCCUGGGGGUCACCACCACCCCCUCCUGUUUGAAUACUUGUAAAUGGUGAAGAUCCCCACCAGUAAGCCAUAUAUAUUCUUGUAUGGGACAAAAAAUCAAAUC